rnacentral:rRNA from 1 species
CUCAAAGCUUAAGCCAUGCAAGUCUCAGUACGAGCUGCAUUAAAGUGAAACCGCAAAAGGCUCAGUAAACCGGUCAUAGUUUACCGGAUAUAUGCCACUCACGUGGACAACUGUGGUAAUUCUAGAGCUAAUACAUGACAACAAGUCCCGACCAGCGAUGGAAAGGACGCUUUUAUUGGAUCAAAACCAUUCGCCCUGUAAUUGCUCAGGGCGUCUGCUUGAUGACUCUAGAUAACACCGCAGAUCGCACGGUCACCGAACCGGCGACGUAUCCGUCAAAUGUCUGACUUAUCAGCUGUCGAUGGUAGACUCUUUGUCUACCAUGGCGCUCACGGGUAACGGGGAAUCAGGGUUCGAUUCCGGAGAGGGAGCCUGAGAAACGGCUACCACAUCCAAGGAAGGCAGCAGGCACGCAAAUUACCCACUCCCGGCACGGGGAGGUAGUGACAAAAAAUAACGAUACGGGACUCAUCCGAGGCCCCGUAAUCGGAAUGAGAACAUUCUAAAUCCUUUAACAAAAAUCUAUUGGAGGGCAAGUCUGGUGCCAGCAGCCGCGGUAAUUCCAGCUCCAAUAGCGUAUAUUAAAGUUGUUGCGGUUAAAAAGCUCGUAGUUGGUUCUGCGUGCCACGCUGUCGGUUCGCCGCCUGCCGGCGCAACUGGCAUGCCGUGGCAUGUCCUGUCGGUGGUCGAAAGGCUUCCUGGCCGGCACCAGGCCGUCAAAAGCCUGGCGUUCGGUCCCAGGUCGUCCUCGUAGGCCGACUCAAUCCUACCGCGGUGCUCUUUACCGAGUGUCGAGGUAGGCCGACACUGUUUACUUUGAACAAAUUAGAGUGCUUCAAGCAGGCUCUGAAAUUAGCCUGAAUAGUUGUGCAUGGAAUAAUAGAACAGGACCUUGGUUCUAUUUUGUUGGUUUUAGGAAUCCAAGGUAAUGAUCAAUAAGGACAGGCGGGGGCAUUCGUAUUGCGACGUUAGAGGUGAAAUUCUUGGAUCGUCGCAAGACGCACUAGAGCGAAAGCAUUUGCCAAGUAUGUCUUAAUUGAUCAAGAACGAAAGUUAGAGGUUCGAAGGCGAUCAGAUACCGCCCUAGUUCUAACCAUAAACGAUGCCAGCCAGCGAUCCGCCGAUGUUCCUCCGAUGACUCGGCGGGGAGCUUUUCCCGGGAAACCAAAGCUUUUGGGUUCCGGGGGAAGUAUGGUUGCAAAGCUGAAACUUAAAGGAAUUGACGGAAGGGCACCACCAGGAGUGGAGCGUGCGGCUUAAUUUGACUCAACACGGGAAACCUCACCAGGCCCGGACAUUGGAAGGAUUGACAGAUCGAUAGCUCUUUCUCGAUUCAGUGGGUAGUGGUGCAUGGCCGUUCUUAGUUGGUGGAUUGAUUUGUCUGGUUAAUUCCGAUAACGAACGAGGCUCUGACCUAUUAACUAGGCGUUUCCGGUAUAUUCUACUACCGGCGAUAUCUAUUCUUCUUAAGGGGACAGGCGGCUCUUAGCCGCACGAGAUUGAGCGAUAACAGGUCUGUGAUGCCCUUAGAUGUUCUGGGCCGCACGCGCGCUACACUGAAGGAAUCAGCGUGUUCUCCCCUGUCCGAAAGGUCCGGGCAACCCGCUGAACCUCCUUCGUGCUAGGAAUUGGGGCUUGCAAUUUUUCUCCAUGAACGAGGAAUUCCCAGUAAGCGCGAAUCAUAAAUUCGCGUUGAUUACGUCCCUGCCCUUUGUACACACCGCCCGUCGCUGCUACCGAUUGAAUGAUUUAGUGAGGUCUUCGGACCGGCGAAAACCGGCACUGGCGUAAGCCGGUAUCGGUUUCGCUGGAAAGAUGACCGAACUUGAUCAUUUAGAGGAAGCAAAAGUCGUAACAAGGUUUCC